rnacentral:rRNA from 1 species
GAUAAAAUUAUUUAAUUAAUUAUAUUUAAUUUAAUUUUUAUUAAAUUUAAUUUAAAUAGAUUAGGUUAUAUAAAUAUUAUUUAUGAAAUAAUUUUAUUUAUAAUAGGUAAUUAGUAUAGUAUUAGAAUUUAAAUAAAAAUAAAAUAGAAAAUUUAAUUUAUUGUACCUUGUGUUUCAGGGUUAAUUAAUUUUAUUUUAUUUUAUUUAAAUUUUUCGAAAUUAAAAGAGUUAAUAUAUUUUUAUAUUUUUUAUUGUAGAAUAAGUAUUAAAAAUAAAAUAUUUGAAGUGAAACGUUAUUCGAUUUUAAUGAUAUCUAGUUUCUUAAGAAAUAAAUUUAAUUUAUUUUUUUUUAUUAAUAGUUUUAUUUAAAAUAAGUUAAUAAAAAAAUGAAAUAAUAAUAGGGUUGAGCUUAUUAUUAAAUUAAUAUAAUUAUUAUAAUUAAUUAAAUUUAAUAAUGGAAUUAAAAGUUUUUACUAAAUAGUGAGUUAUUUCUAGUUAAUUGAUAAUUUUUAUUUUUAUGAUAUAAUAAUUUAUGGGUUUUAUUUAAAGAUUUUAAUAAUAAUAAUAAUAAUUAAAAAAUAAUGAUUAAAUUAGUAAAUUUAUUUGUGGAAGAUAAUUAGUAUAGAUAGGUAGAAUAAAGGAAUUCGGCAAAUGAUUUUUUACCUGUUUAUUAAAAACAUGUCCUAUAAGUUUAUUUUUUUUUUAGGUUUAACCUGCCCAAUGAAUUAAGAUUAUUUUUAAUGGCCGCAGUAUUUUGACUGUGCAAAGGUAGCAUAAUCAUUAGUUUUUUAAUUGAAAGCUGGUAUGAAGGGUUGGAUAAAAAAAUUACUGUUUUUAUUGUAUUUAGUUUGAAUUUUAUUAUUAAGUUAAAAAGCUUAAAUAUUUAAUGAAGACGAGAAGACCCUAUAGAGUUUUAUAAUUAAAAUUUAAAGAAUUUUUAGAAUAAUUUAUUUUUAUUAAAUUUUAAAUUUUUAAUUGGGGUGAUUUUUAAAUUUGUUUAACUUUAUAAAUAUUAGAACAUUUAUUUAUGAAAAAAUGAUCCUUUUUUUAAGAUUAUAAGAAUUAAUUACCUUAGGGAUAACAGCGUUAUUUUUUUUGAGAGUUCAAAUCGAGAAAAAAGUUUGCGACCUCGAUGUUGGAUUAAAAUUUUAACUUGGUGUAGAAGCUUUGGUGUUAAGUCUGUUCGACUUUGAAAAUUUUACAUGAUCUGAGUUUAGACCGGUGUGAGCCAGGUUGGUUUCUAUCUCUUUUUAGAAAAAAUUAUUUAGUACGAAAGGACCAAUAUUUUGUUAUAAUUUAAUUAUUUGAGGGGAGAAUUUUAUUAUUAUUUUGGCAGAAAAGUGUGAAGGAUUUAGAAUCUUUU